rnacentral:rRNA from 1 species
GUGCCAGCCGCCGCGGUAAUACCGGCGGCCCGAGUGGCGGCCACUAUUAUUGGGCCUAAAGCGUCCGUAGCCGGUCUGGCAAGUCCCCCGGGAAAUCUGGCGGCUUAACCGUCAGGCUGCCGGGGGAUACUGCCAGACUAGGGACCGGGAGAGGCCGGGGGUAUUCCCGGGGUAGGGGUGAAAUCCUGUAAUCCCGGGAGGACCACCUGUGGCGAAGGCGCCCGGCUGGAACGGGUCCGACGGUGAGGGACGAAGGCCUGGGGAGCGAACCGGAUUAGAUACCCGUGUAGUCC